AUCAGGAUAAAAUAAGCUCCGUUUGUAUGCUUGAAAGACAACAAUGACUAUGAAAUAGAGACAAGAUUCAGCUUAUAAAGCCUAUAAGAUUUACCUUAAAAGCUCUAUUUUCUUUAAUGUUUCCUUAUCUUGGAAAAUGUCCAGAAAUUCUUAGGAGCUGCAAAAAUGAGCCCUUAUGGUCAAAAUACUGAUUUUAUUAAUUUAGGUAACUUCCUCUGUCGCUAUCAUUCUAAACCAGGUUAAGUAUAAUUCUAAAUUUUACCAAA
rnacentral:misc_RNA from 1 species